GACAGAGGUGCCAAGCGUUAGGCGGAAUCACUGGGCUUAAAGCGUGUGUAGGCGGGUGCCUAAGUACCUUGUGAAAUCCCACGGCUCAACCGUGGAACUGCUCGGUAUACUGGGUGCCUUGAGCCACUUAGGGGCUACCGGAACAAAUGGUGGAGCGGUGAAAUGCGUAGAUAUCAUUUGGAACGCCAAUGGUGAAAACAGGUAGCUGGGAGUGUGCUGACGCUGAGACACGAAAGCCAGGGGAGCGAACGGGG
rnacentral:rRNA from 1 species